CCACGGAGUGAUUCAUGACUGGGGUGAAGUCGUAACAAGGUAGCCGUAGGGGAACCUGCGGCUGGAUCACCUCCUUAAGCUUGGAUCCCGGGA
rnacentral:rRNA from 1 species